CUACGGGUGGCACCAGUGAGGAAUUUUGCGCAAUGGGGGCAACCCUGACGCAGCAACGCCGCGUGAGUGAUGAAGGCUUUCGGGUCGUAAAGCUCUGUCAAGUGGGAAGAAUAUGGUUUGGAUUAAUAAACCGAGCCAAUGGCGGUACCACUGGAGGAAGCACCGGCUAACUCCGUGCCAGCAGCCGCGGUAACACGGAGGGUGCGAGCGUUAUUCGGAAUUAUUGGGCGUAAAGGGCGCGUAGGCUGUUUUGUAAGUCAGUUGUGAAAGCCCGGGGCUCAACCCCGGAAGUGCAAUUGAACUACGAGACUUGAGUAUGGGAGAGGGAAGUGGAAUUCCUGGUGUAGCGGUGAAAUGCGUAGAUAUCAGGAGGAACACCGGUGGCGAAGGCGACUUCCUGGACCAAUACUGACGCUGAGGCGCGAAGGCGUGGGUAGCAAACAGGAUUAGAUACCCCCGUAGUC
rnacentral:rRNA from 1 species